rnacentral:lncRNA from 1 species
GAGGCUGCAGCUUAAAAAGCUGUCCUUCUUGUUCUAUUGUAGAACAAGCCACUUUUCUCUGAACCGAAUGCUACAUCUUAGUCUUUGGAUCCUAAAGGCUGCUUCACCACUUCCUCUCUUUAUAAAUUUUUGAUCCAGAGAGGCAUGAAGUAGACUUUGGCAAAUACAAUUUGAAAAUCUGCUCUUCUUUUGAAAAUCGAAGAUUUUCUCUGGCUUGCAUUAUUGUAAAACU